rnacentral:rRNA from 1 species
UACAGGGGGUGCAAACGUUGCUCGGAAUCAUUGGGCGUAAAGCGCACGUAGGCGGUUCGUUAUGUCGGAUGUGAAAGCCCUUGGCUUAACCGAGGAAGUGCAUCCGAAACUGGCGAGCUAGAGUACUAAAGAGGAUCGCGGAAUUCCCGGUGUAGAGGUGAAAUUCGUAGAUAUCGGGAGGAACACCGGUGGCGAAGGCGGCGAUCUGGCCCGGUACUGACGCUGAGGUGCGAAAGCGUGGGGAGCGAACAGG